rnacentral:siRNA from 1 species
UGGUGAAAUGUGUGGUUCUUCAUC